AGCAGUUGACAUUACUGCUCCCGACAUGUGGGUCAGCUUGACGACCUCCUGACGCAUUCAAGUUGAAGCAUGUGCUGCUCAUUCGUAUAAUCCUAGACGUUGGAAUAACCAAUAGCGUGUUGGAAACUUUUCACCCACCGGCCCUUCAGCAUUUUAUACACAUUCGACUAAACCAUGCAGACAAUUUGACUGUUGAGUUGCUGCACACAAGUUGAAUAAUGUUUCUGUAUUUAGUGAGCAAUUAAUGCUUAGACAACUGAGUGCUUCACUUUCUUCCAUCUUAGAAGUGUCGCCAGAGUGACACAUGGCCGUCUGUCGAUCACACAUCAAGGCCUUGACUCUAGGAGUCUCUGAGGCAUCGGUGAAGCCAGAGUAGAGACAAACAGGGCAGCGAUACAAGACCUGGCUACCAUGGCUACUGCUGUCAACUUCAGCCAGCAUAAAGUCAGCAGGAUGUCAUUGAGUUGCUGCUGAUGAUGGUACCUGCAAGCAUGCAAUUGCUGUACUUUUUGCGUUGUCGGACUACAUCGAAAGAAGCAGUGACAAGGGGACAGCUGUUGGCACAGAUGAGCCUUGCUCAU